rnacentral:rRNA from 1 species
GCUAAACGCGAAGAACCUUACCAGCCCUUGACAUCCUGUGUUACCUCUAGAGAUAGGGGUCCACUUCGUGGCGCAGAGACAGGUGCUGCAUGGCUGUCGUCAGCUCGUGUCGUGAGAUGUUGGGUUAAGUCCCGCAACGAGCGCAACCCUUGUCCUUAGUUGCCAUCAUUAAGUUGGGAACUCUAAGGAGACCGCCGGUGACAAACCGGAGGAAGGUGGGGAUGACGUCAAGUCAUCAUGGCCUUUAUGACCAGGGCUACACACGUGCUACAAUGGCAGGUACAGAGGGUUGCCAAGCCGCGAGGUGGAGCUAAUCUCACAAAACCGAUCGUAGUCCGGAUCGCAGUCUGCAACUCGACUGCGUGAAGUCGGAAUCGCUAGUAAUCGCGAAUCAGCAUUGCUGCGGUGAAUACGUUCCCGGGUCUUGUACACACCG